GCCCUGUAGUGCAAUGGUUACAUGCUCUGCUGCUAACGGAAGGGUCGGUGGUUUGAACCCACCUAAGGGCU
rnacentral:tRNA from 1 species